rnacentral:rRNA from 1 species
UACGUAGGGUGCGAGCGUUGUCCGGAAUUACUGGGCGUAAAGGGCUCGUAGGCGGUUUGUUGAGUCGGGAGUGAAAUCGCCGGGCUUAACACGGCGCCUGCUUUUGAUACGGGCAGACUAGAGGUAUGCAGGGGAGAACGGAAUUCCUGGUGUAGCGGUGAAAUGCGCAGAUAUCAGGAGGAACACCGGUGGCGAAGGCGGUUCUCUGGGCAUUACCUGACGCUGAGGAGCGAAAGUGUGGGGAGCGAACAGG